rnacentral:rRNA from 1 species
UACGUAGGGUGCGAGCGUUAAUCGGAAUUACUGGGCGUAAAGCGUGCGCAGGCGGUUUUGUAAGCCAGAUGUGAAAGCCCCGGGCUUAACCUGGGAAUGGCAUUUGGGACUGCAAGGCUGGAGUGUGGCAGAGGAGACUGGAAUUCCUGGUGUAGCAGUGAAAUGCGUAGAUAUCAGGAGGAAUACCGAUGGCGAAGGCAGGUCGUCUGGGCUGACACUGACGCUCAUGCACGAAAGCGUGGGGAGC